AAUUGUUUAGUACUUUAGGGUAGGCCAUCCCAGACUGAGGGGCUCAACCGAGCACAGUCACACAGAGCCACUUUAGAAGCGGCGAUGGCCUCCUUGGCGGGGGAGUGGCCCCGUCGGUACCCCCAGCGGACAGGAGCUCUGAGGCCAUUGGCUGGCCCGCUGGCGGCGGAGGGGCGGGAGCGCAGCAGAAGGGGAUUGUUCGCACCUUUGGGCUGUAGAUGGAGCUGUCGGGCAGGCGAGGGGGAAGGCGCCUAGAAAUAACCUCCCUGGCCCGCGAGCUGGGAACAGCGCUCCCAGGAUGCAGUUUGUGUCAACACGGCCACAAUCUCGGCAGCUGGGCAUCCAGGGUCUGGGGCUGGACAGCGGGAGCUGGAGCUGGGCGCAGGCUCUGCCCCAGAAGGAGGUCUGCCACCAACACCGGCGCUGCGCGGGGAAAUGGUCGAGGGAAUGCCGCCCCAUGCAGGAGAACUUUAUUUUGAAAGUGUGUAGUCUAGCCCUUACUCAGUCUCUUUAUGGAAACCUAUGACCAUUACUGGAUGUGGACCAUAUUUGGAGCAUUUAUUACUGGCUUGGUGAACAACAUAGGCAUCAUGCUGACCCAGUUCUACGGAUUCACCCUAUUAAGGAAGAAAUGGAGAUUCCUAAUUUGAGAGAUUGCUUGGUCAAAAUUCGGCAAGACUACAAUUUGCAUAUGCUGCUAAGCCCUUCAGCAUUGUGAUCUUUUCACUGACAGAAUGUGUUCCACAAGACGUAUCUGCCUGUGGCCAGCAUGGUGAGUUGAUGGCUUGGCCACCACCACCUCGAGAGAAAACUGGUGCAGCCAGAGGUGAUGUGCUCCAAAUGAUAACUGCCAUCCCCUGUCUAUGUGGGUUCUCACAGUCAUAAUAUAGUUUAUGUCACAUCAGAAAAAUUAAUGUACCUACUUCUCAAAUGUAAAGAUACCUACCAGACAUUGUAAAAGCAUAUUCAUGUAAGUGAAUUUGUUCAGGUAAAACUGUUACCUGUUGAGCUCUAGAGAUGUGAGAUACAGUGAGAGCUGUUUUCUUUUUGUAUAUAACUUUCUCACCCUGAUUUCUGUAUCAUGGCACUGCCAUUAUUCCGUGUCAAGUCCCCCAUGUACCCCCAGGUCACAUUGUCUUGAGGUGGGGUAUCCUUUGAGUCCCAGAAUAACCACAGGUCUAGACAGGAUCCUAUGUGAACCAGCAGAAACAUCCAUGAAAGGAGUGAUGUUUUCCUUGCUUCCUCCCCCUGCCCUCAAAAGUGCUCCCAUAAGAUUUCUGAACUAGGAGAGUAGAAAGAGAAGUACUUUAAAACCUGAAUUUUUAAUUACAGUUUUAGCACUCUCCUGCACAGUUCUGUAACAUCUGUAGUGCUAAGUACUGGGGAGAAGAAAGUGCCAUUUUGGAGAUGAAAAAAUUGCUUGAUUCUGUUUUGGCUUCUUCCUUGCUACUCUUUGAAGACUGUUUUUGCAGCAACAGAAGCUUUUGUUGUCAUCAGUGAUGUUGAGAGAUUUAUACAUGUUUAUGUUCGGCUCAACAAAAGCUGCUUUAUCUUCUCCUGUCUACUAGGUAUUUUUCUUUGCAGUUGAUAAAGAAGUUGGGGUUCGUUUCUUCCAUGCCUUGAAAGAUGUGGGUUUGUGGUUAUUAUUUAAUCAUUUAUUUUGUUAGGUUUCCACACCUAAAUAAAGAAUGAGUCA